rnacentral:rRNA from 1 species
UACGAAGGGGGCUAGCGUUGCUCGGAAUCACUGGGCGUAAAGGGUGCGUAGGCGGGUCUUUUAAGUCAGGGGUGAAAUCCUGGAGCUCAACUCCAGAACUGCCUUUGAUACUGAAGAUCUUGAGUUCGGGAGAGGUGAGUGGAACUGCGAGUGUAGAGGUGAAAUUCGUAGAUAUUCGCAAGAACACCAGUGGCGAAGGCGGCUCACUGGCCCGAUACUGACGCUGAGGUGCG